rnacentral:pre_miRNA from 1 species
UUAUUACUCCCUCCGUCCCAAAAUUCUUGUCUUAGAUUCGUCUAGAUACGGGUGUAUCUAACACUAAAACGUAACUAGAUACAUCCGUAUUUAGACAAAUCUAAGACGAGAAUUUUGGGACGGAGGGAGUAGAUU